UCCCUGCUGGCUCAGAUGGUAAAGAAUCCGCCUGCAAUGCAGGAGACCUGGGUUUGAUCCCUGGGUGGGGAA
rnacentral:tRNA from 1 species